GGGGCUGUGGUGUAACUUGGCUAUCACACAAGGUUUGGGACCUUGUGAUCGGGGUUCAAAUCCUCGCAGCCCCA
rnacentral:tRNA from 1 species